rnacentral:piRNA from 1 species
AGUCAUAGAAAUUGAACUCUC